rnacentral:lncRNA from 1 species
GCUGGGCCAGAGGUGGGGCUGGGGUGUGGGGUGAGUAAGCCACCAGGAAGACGAGUCCAUGUGGAACCACUUUUCCAUGGUCUAAUCUGGGAAACGGAACGCUGUGAGCUUGGACUAAAGUUAUGGCUUUGGUUAGAGGAUUGAUUCAGUGGGGCCAGCAUGGCCUCUGGCGGGGCCAUAGCCACAUGUGUCCUCCCCCCUGGCCUGACCCCCCUCUGGCAGUCACAUCUCCAGGUCUGGCAGAACCCCCAGAACAGAUCUUUCUCCUGGCCCCCAGCAAGGCUGUUCACUGCCUUCCAAACAUGUGCAGCUGGCUUGGCCAUCUGGGCCUGAGGCCCUCUGGGAGGUGGCCUCGAACGAUGAUCUUCCUCUACCCUAUGUGAUUGUGUGGCUUCCAGCUGAGCCUGCUUACCUGAUCCUCCUGCAGGACCCUACUCCCUGGGCUCUUUCCAACCCUGAGAGGGAGGAGCAAAGAGGGCUGGAGAAUGGAUAGUACAACCAUUUCCCAUGUUGCUGCAUGCCUGGUGCCUUAUGCAGGUCCUCCUUCUAGUAGGAUCAAAUGAUGGGCUGGCCUCUUUCUUCCCAUUUUUAUCGAAGGCAUCCCAUUGCUGGCUGACUUCACUCAUAAAGCUGCACUGAAGAAACUCUCUGCACUGGACAUGUGACAGCCUCUCUCUUGGGAUUUGUGCUUCCUCUUGCUGUGGACUAGAAGAUGAAUGCUUCAAUAUUUCAAGGAAUAUCAUGCUGGGUUGGCUCUGUCCUACUCAGGGUUCCCCUCUCCUGUAUUACUUUGUUCUAAAUUGUGUCUUCGAAAACAUAUUGGAGUCCUUAUCCCACAUACCUCAAAAUGUACUCUUAUUUGGAAGUAGUGUCAUUGUCGAUGGGAUUAGUUAAAAGAGGAGGUUAUACUGGAGUGGAGUGAGUCUUUAUCCAGUAUGACUUUAUCCAAUAUGAUUCCUUGUACAAAGAGGAUAUGAAGACACAGCCACACCGGAAGAAGGCCAGACAGAGGCAGAGAUUGGAGGGCUGUAGCUGCUUGCCAAAGGAUGCCAAGGAUUGAUGGCCUCCACCAUCGAUAGACGCUAGCAAGAGGCAAGGAAGGAUUCUCUCCUACAGAUUUCACUGGGAAUAUGGUGUUGUUCACUCCUGGACAUCAGACUUCCUGCCCCUACAUCUGUAGGACAAUACAUGUCUGUGUCUGAAGCCACCUGGUUUAUGGUAUGUGGUUAUGGCAGCCCUAGAAAUAAGCAGAUAUUUCAUCUCUGUCUUAGAAGUGAAGAAACUGGGGUUUCCCAAGCAUUUUCAUUUCUACAGAACCAACAGCUUCAUAUAGGACUCGACAAGAGUGGAGAGUUUAUCAGAGAGUGGAGAGUUUACCAGAGGAAUGACCCAGCCAAUGGCUGGUGUGACACCUUAAGGUCAGGUGGUGAGUUGGGGGCAGUAUCAACUCUGGAUACUCUCUCUGCAUGUCAAGCCAGCUGUUCGCUGCACUAGGACAAUAAUAAUAUUGACUGUUGAUCUUCCUGCUCAUUGAGUCCAGGCUUUGGCAUGUCUAAGCCUGUUUCCUCAUUUGUAGCUUUUUAUUUAG